CCACCAGGCCGGGCCCCUCUGGCAGUUCCCAACGAACUGCGAUGUCGGACUGGACAU
rnacentral:ncRNA from 1 species